ensembl:lncRNA
CUUGUAUUUUCUUUUAUUUAUCUCACACAUGCAAAAUACAGACAUUUCAGAACACAAUCAAGGGAAGGAGAACCUCUGUAAUUUGAAUGUUGGAAUGUGACAUUUUCGUCUUUGCACUUUUUUUUAUCAUUUCAGAUAUCUGAGUAGAAAAAUCACUGCACCGUUCAUCUGGGGCAUGAAAUGGCCGAGAAUUAAAUUAUGACUCAUUUUCACAAGAAUUAGGGAGGAGGAAAUAUUAGCUCUUUUCCCACAGCUAAGUCCUGGUAAAUGCCUUAAGCCUAGAUUCAAAAUAGUCUCAUGUGGAUGAAAACCCUGCUCUUCACUGUAUUAAACUCUCAGAAUAAGUGUAGAUGCAAGGCUUUACGAUUCUGCCUAUUCCUUUCAUUCAAGGCAAACAGAUCUGCCUUGAGGUGGUUCCCCCACAUGAGAUUCACAGUGUAGUUAACUGGUGGCAAACAAGUUUUAGGAGCCCUAAUGUCAUCUUCUAUUUCCCUUUGUCCCCUGGGCACUGCAUCGUGCGUGCAGUGAUACUUGAUCUGAAUGUUGAGGGCUGCCAACAUUCUUAACCUUUAUUUUGCAAAAAUACAAGGGCAGUCACAAACAGUGUCUGAAUGGUUUAGAGGCAACAGCUGGGAUUACAGAGUUCAGUAGCCUACAUGCAAGGCAGCAUCGCAGCAGAAGGACACGGGCUGCCCUUGGAAAUGCCUCAAAGCCUGAAUUCUUCUUCUCGAAAGCAGAUCCAGCUGCAGGGAGGUGGGCACUGAGAGUCUGAAACUCUCUCUUCUGCAUCCAGGGGAGUCACGCUGCCUUUAGGCUGGGUUUGCUUAGCACCGGGCAUGGCCAGGACGUGUGACAGCGGAGCAAUUCUGCAAGUGAGAAAGAAAGGAGGGAAGGAGUCCAAGAUAACGAACACCAUUGUAAAUAACUCGUCAUUUCCCCAGGCGGAACCAACGUUUCCCUUUUCAUCUCCCGACCAGCCAGGAUGCCAGCCUCUAGCUCUAGUCCAUUUUUCUCCCUUCAGAUUGCGGGAUGCAUCUCUGGGACAUGAGAUCUGUGGGGAACAUAAAUGGGACAAAACAAGGCUACCCUUGAUGGGUGUUUGCAGAGGGGAAAGGCCAAGGAGAAUGGAGAAGUGCCUAGCGUGGCAGAAACGUGGGAGAGAGAAACGUAAGUAAAAGUACAGUUGCGAGGGAGGGCUGGGAGUGAAUGAGAGUGACAUUGCCUCCUUCAUGAC